rnacentral:lncRNA from 1 species
GAGGGGUACCCACGGUGGAGGGAGGUGGGAGGCCGAGACGGCCCCGGGGGUCGGCGGAGACCCAGCGGGAGCAGGGGGAAAUCGGAAGAGCUGGGGGCAUGGAGCGGGCGAGUUUGGAGCGGAAUGAGCCGGGAGCCCUACGUUGUGGAAGGAAGACAACAGUAUAGGACCAUCAGCAGGACCGGACAGAGAGGGGCACGGUUUCUCUGUAUAGCCCUGGCUGUCCUGGAACUUGUAGACCAGGCUGGCCUUGAACUCAGAAAUCCGCCUGCCUCUGACUCCCGAGUGCUGAGAUUAAAGGUGUGCACCACCACACCCGACAAGGAAGCCUGUUUUAAGAAGUGAUUCCAUGGAGGAGUUCUGCGGCGGCUCAGGGCUUGACUAAACAGUGGACCUCAGGUAAGAUGCUGCCUUGAAAGACUGUCUAAGGCUUUUUUUUUUUUUUUUUUUUUUUUGAGACAGGGUUUCUCUGUGUAGCCCUGGCUGUCCUGGAACCCACUCUAAACCAGUCUGGCCUCAAACUCAGAAACCCACCUGCCUCUGCCUCCUAAAUGCUGGGAUUAAAGGGUGUGCCACCACUGCUCUGCUAGUCUAAGGCUUUCCAGAGAAGGAUCAUGUUCUUGCAGGGUCCCAUUUCUCUCAGUAGACAAGAGAGGCUAAACCAGGCUGCAGGUGACAGGAAGAAUUGAAUAAACUGAAAGCAAAGGGCAGCCUUCUAAUUACGCUUCGUGGCUAUGUGGACAACCUGGAGAAGUCUGGAAACGUGAGUGGUGCUAAUCCCCUUUGUAAUGAAAGGCCCGGGUAAAAACAGAUGGGGCAAGUAGGUGUAAUGGGUAUUUCAGGAGCUUGAAUCUGAUGUCACAGCUUGUCUGGAUGGGACGUGCAUCUACUUGCAGAGCUAUGUUCCCAUCUAGUGUAAUUGUGGGUGUUUUAAUUCAGGCGUCACCUCUAUUUUGUCCUCUCUCCACAGCUUUCCUCCUCCAUUUUACUACUUGAGGGAGCAGUGGGUGGGAUACUAGGCAAGUAGCUGCAAUGGCUGGUGCUUUAUGGUUCCCUGGCAUCCCCUGAAUCUGUUAACAUCCCAACCUUCUUGACAGCCAGCCCCACCCCAUCACAUUCUUACUCCUUCCCUUUCCAAGAAAGAAGCCAGAAGCCCGAAGCCAGCAGUAGAGCUCUGACUGGCUUGUAUGCCUAGAAAGGAAGGGCUCUUCUUUCGCCUCACGGGCACAAAUGGGACCCACGAGCGCCGAUUUCAGACUAUUCUGAUCCCUUCAAAAAGAAAGUUAGGAGUCCAGGCUACUGUGAGUGAAUUUGAUUCUAAUUGUUUCAGAGAAUAUGGAAUAAAAUAUCUCAUUUGCAGUUG